AAAAUAACAACGAAGAAAAGAUUAUGGGACCAAUAAAAAGGAAAAGAGAUAUGACUAUCAUAAAUAUUACAUCUGCUUUCUAAAUCGAUCGCGUUGAGCUUCUCUUAAAAACUAGCUUUACCAUAUCUCUAAAUCAACUGAUGUCGAGAUAUCGAUGACAAGUGGACAUGUCGCGACGCGAUACAAGGUUCGAUUUCGUGCUGGUCAUUCAUGACUCCACGUGAAUUAAGAUCGAUUUCACAUCUAACGAGUGUCGGCCUGUGGCCUGGGUGUCGCGAAACAAAUAAGAAGGGCGGGGAAAGAUGAGAUUGAGCCGGUUGGUCGUUCAACCGAGCCAGUUACAACAGACGGCGCCCAUGAUCUGGUCAGUUUGGCGAAGAACGUGAGAGUAAGUCGCUCCUGGAGGGAAAAGAGGAACAGAGAGGGCUGAAUGAACAACGAAUAAAAAAAUAUUGUGACGACGUAGUGAGACACGUGUGCAAGACAAGAACGAAGACAGGAUUGGAAGAGAGGAAGAAAAAACAAACGUUAUGACGGUAAAGAGGUUAAGGUGUGAAAGAGAUGAGAAUAUAUGUGAUUGAAAAAGGCGAACGAGUGGAAGAGGAACGGGAAUAGUAUGACUUGUUGGGAAACAACUAAAGAGGGAGGAAGCGAAUAUGUAUGUUGAAUACGUGGGACGGAUAAUACUUCCUUGGCGCGUGUAAUGUACUCGUCCGACGGCGCCGGCGCCUGCAUAUAUUGCUCUUUCUAUCUUUUUCUCUGUCUCGAGAAUGUUUACGUGACGUGACACAGAUUCCACAGAGACGCCUUCUGAAAAAUCUACUAUAUGAUUAUGUCUGGUGUGUGCAAAAAUUUUUGGGACGUGUCUAGAACGAGGUUAUGGUUGUUAUGACGUAUGACAUUGCGUCGCUCUUCCAAAUAUUUCUUGGUUUGGAAAC